UUGCGCCGACUCAUCUGACCCUAACUUUCUCGCUUUCUCCGGACCAUCCUUUGGAAGUAAGAAAACCUAUACGAGUCGGUCACCUCCUCUCCUUCUCCUAUAUAAAUUCCCCUCUCCACCCGUGUUAUCUCGCAUCCAAACAGAGCAAAUCAAAAUCUUUCUCAAAUCAUCUCCUCAGAUUAUUCUCAUAGCCUUUUAGAAGAUGCAGAUCUUCGUGAAAACCCUGACCGGCAAGACCAUAACUCUCGAGGUCGAGAGUUCCGACACCAUCGACAACGUUAAGGCCAAGAUCCAAGACAAGGAAGGGAUCCCACCCGACCAGCAAAGGCUCAUCUUCGCGUGGCAAACAGCUCGAAGACGGCCGUACCUUGGCGGAUUACAACAUCCAGAAGGAGUCGACUCUCCACCUGGUCCUCCGUCUUCGUGGCGGUAUGCAGAUCUUCGUCAAAACCUUGACCGGUAAAACCAUCACCCUCGAAGUGGAGAGUUCCGACACGAUCGACAACGUCAAGGCCAAGAUCCAAGACAAGGAAGGGAUCCCACCCGACCAGCAAAGGCUCAUCUUCGCCGGGAAACAGCUCGAAGACGGUCGUACCUUGGCGGAUUAUAACAUCCAGAAGGAGUCAACUCUCCACCUGGUCCUCCGUCUUCGUGGCGGUAUGCAAAUCUUUGUCAAAACUUUGACCGGCAAAACCAUCACCCUCGAAGUCGAGAGUUCCGACACGAUCGACAACGUCAAGGCCAAAAUCCAGGACAAAGAAGGCAUCCCUCCCGACCAACAGCGGCUCAUCUUCGCCGGGAAACAGCUGGAGGACGGCCGUACUUUGGCUGAUUAUAAUAUCCAAAAGGAGUCGACUCUCCACCUUGUCCUCAGGCUCCGUGGAGGCAUGCAAAUCUUUGUCAAAACCUUGACAGGAAAGACUAUAACCCUGGAGGUCGAGAGCUCGGACACGAUUGAUAACGUUAAGGCCAAGAUCCAAGAUAAGGAAGGGAUCCCACCAGACCAACAACGAUUGAUCUUCGCUGGGAAGCAGCUUGAGGACGGGAGGACCUUGGCUGAUUACAACAUACAAAAGGAAUCAACCCUUCAUCUUGUUUUGAGGCUUCGUGGAGGAAUGCAGAUUUUUGUCAAGACCUUGACUGGAAAAACAAUCACCUUGGAGGUGGAAAGUUCGGAUACAAUCGAUAAUGUCAAGGCAAAGAUUCAGGAUAAGGAAGGAAUCCCCCCAGAUCAGCAAAGGCUUAUCUUUGCCGGGAAGCAAUUGGAGGAUGGGAGGACUUUAGCUGAUUAUAACAUUCAGAAAGAGUCUACCCUCCACCUUGUCCUUCGUCUCCGUGGUGGGCAGUGAUUGUUCUAAAGGAAAGGUUUUGUCGUUGUUUUAAAUUUAAGAUACUGUCAUAAUAAGGAAGUGCCUUUUUUUCUUUUUCUUUAAUGUUUGAUAUCUGGGUCUUAUCGCAUUUGUAAGAUGUUAAUCUAAGUAUGGAAUAAAAGUUUGCUGAUCUUUUCUUA